rnacentral:rRNA from 1 species
CAGUCGCCGCGGUAAUACGUAGGUGGCAAGCGUUGUCCGGAAUUAUUGGGCGUAAAGGGCUCGCAGGCGGUUUCUUAAGUCUGAUGUGAAAGCCCCCGGCUCAACCGGGGAGGGUCAUUGGAAACUGGGAAACUUGAGUGCAGAAGAGGAGAGUGGAAUUCCACGUGUAGCGGUGAAAUGCGUAGAGAUGUGGAGGAGCACCAGUGGCGAAGGCGACUCUCUGGUCUGUAACUGACGCUGAGGAGCGAAAGCGUGGGGAGCGAACAGGAUUAGAUACCCCUGUAGUCCCUGUCUCUUAUAA